CUGCAGCCAACUCAGCCAAGCAGCUUCUUCUCCUCAUGGGGCCUAUGUGCAACAUUGCAAGCAGCAGCCUCCUUGGGAGUGUGCAGCCUGUACCUUGUUUGGAUUGCCCCAGUGGGCCUUUGAGAUAGAU